rnacentral:rRNA from 1 species
AGAGUUUGAUCAUGGCUCAGAACGAACGCUGGCGGCGUGGAUAAGACAUGCAAGUCGAGCGAGAUUUUUCGUUGUAGCAAUACGAUGGAAAGUCUAGCGGCGAACGGGUGCUUAACACGUGGGCAACCUGCCAUGAAGUGGGGGAUAGCUCGCCGAAAGGCGAAUUAAUACCGCAUGUGAUUAGAGAGGACAUCCUUUCGAAAUUAAAGUCGGGGCAACCUGACGCUUCUUGUGGGGCCCGCGGCCUAUCAGCUAGUUGGUGAGGUAACGGCUCACCAAGGCUUUGACGGGUAGCUGGUCUGAGAGGACGACCAGCCACACUGGGACUGAGACACGGCCCAGACACCUACGGGUGGCAGCAGUCGAGAAUUUUUGACAAUGGGGGAAACCCUGAUCGAGCGACGCCGCGUGGAGGAUGAAGGUCUUCGGAUUGUGAACUCCUGUCAUUUGGGAACAAGGUGUGCGCGUUAACUGCGCGCGCAUUGAUAGUACCAGAAGAGGAAGGGACGGCUAACUCUGUGCCAGCAGCCGCGGUAAUACAGAGGUCUCAAGCGUUGUUCGGAUUCAUUGGGCGUAAAGGGUGCGUAGGCGGCGCGGUAAGUCGGAUGUGAAAUCUCGGAGCUUAACUUCGAAACUGCAUUCGAUACUGCCGUGCUUGAGGACUGGAGAGGAGACUGGAAUUUACGGUGUAGCGGUGAAAUGCGUAGAUAUCGUAAGGAAGACCAGUGGCGAAGGCGGGUCUCUGGACAGUUCCUGACGCUGAGGCACGAAGGCCAGGGGAGCAAACGGGAUUAGAUACCCCAGUAGUCC